rnacentral:rRNA from 1 species
GGAGGUUACUGCUAUCGGUGUUCGCCUAACCCAUGCGAGUCAUAUGUUCUUCGUGAACAUGGCGUACUGCUCAUUAACACGUGAAUAACCUGCCCUUGGGACCGGCAUAACCCCGGGAAACUGGGGAUAAUUCCGGAUACCGCAUAUAUGCUGGAAUGCUUUAUGCGUGAAAUGGAUUCGUCUGCCCAAGGAUGGGUCUGCGGCCUAUCAGGUAGUAGUGGGUGUAAUGUACCUACUACCCUACAACGGGUACGGGUUGUGAAAGCAAAAGCCCGGAAAUGGAUUCUGAAACAUGAAUCCAGGCCCUACGGGGCGCAGCGGGCGCGAAAACUUUACAAUGCGGGAAACCGUGAUAAGGGGACACCGAGUGCCAGCAACAUUUGUUGGCUGUCCAGGUGUGUAAACUACACCUGUUAGCAAGGGCCGGGCAAAACCGGUGCCAGCAC